AAUCCAGAGGUAUUCAAGGUAUUAGAGGAAGUACCCAAAUGGUGGGUGGGACCAGACAAAGUCCCAAAUAUUGCAUGCAAAAGGUUCUCAAGGAAAUGACAAUCUCUGACAAUGGAAGUAUUCUCAGUGACAAGAAAGAAUAUUGAACAUGGAGAUACUAACAUUUAUUUUCUUCUCUUAAAAUUUCAUCUGAAGAAAACAUCAGGAAGAUUAUAAGGAAGAGCCCCUGUUUGCAGGAGAAGAGAAGACCAAGCCAAAAAGAAAGUGGCAGACAAAUACUUGCUAAAAUAGCAGAAGGUUCUAUUAAUUGUCAGGCAAACCAAUUAAAAACCAAAGUAUAUAUUAAAAAAAUGCUGUGGUUAUUAGGCUAUUAAGCACCUGGUUUGCUUUCUUUAAAAGAUCCAACAUCACCACCACCACCACCACCACCAUCAUCAAAAUCAACAUCACAUCAUCCUUACCUUUUUUUGGAGAACACAAUGGAAAAUGAAUAUAAACAUUCCCUGCAGAGAAUUGAAAAUGGUGAAGAGGUACGCCAUGAUCACCGUGCUUUCAUUAAUAUACAUAAGUCCAAAGGCCCAGGUGAGUCCCAAUAGGCAGAGCAGAGCUAUUGCACCUAUAACCCAUGACCUGUCAAGGAAAGAAGGAAGAAAGGAAGAAAGAAAGAAAGAAAAAAGAAAGGACAGAAAAGAAGUGUAUUUGACUGAUAAAGAAAACAAUUCAAUGAACACAACAGUAUUUUAGAUUAUUCUUUGAUGAAAAGAAAGGCAGAAUGUGAAUAUUUGUGAGAAAUGAAUUUUUUGAAUUCAAUGCAGUUUAUUAUCAAAUUCAUAAUCUGAAGAAAAUAUAUAGAUGGAAAAUGUCAUGAGCAUGAAAAUGCCUCUCUAGAAAAACAAGCUUGUAGCAAAUGUUUUUGAGUAGAGCAGUGUAGAUGUAAUAAAAUAUAGAGAUAUAUGACACUGUAGAGGAAAAUAAAAAAAAUAUUUUAAA